UAACGCGUGGGCAACCUGCCCCAUAGAGGGGGACAACAGCUGGAAACGGCUGCUAAUACCGCAUAACAAGGAGAGAGCGCAUGUUCUUUUCUUCAAAGAUUUAUCGCUAUGGGAUGGACCCGCGUCUGAUUAGCUAGUUGGUGAGGUAACGGCUCACCAAGGCGACGAUCAGUAGCCGGCUUGAGAGAGUGAACGGCCACAUUGGGACUGAGACACGGCCCAGACUCCUACGGGAGGCAGCAG
rnacentral:rRNA from 1 species